UACGAAGGGUGCAAACGUUGCUCGGAAUUAUUGGGCGUAAAGCGCACGUAGGCGGCUUUUCAAGUCCCAUGUGAAAGCCCACGGCUUAACCGUGGAAGUGCAUGGGAAACUGGAAGCUUGAGUACUUAAGAGGAUCGCGGAAUUCCCGGUGUAGAGGUGAAAUUCGUAGAUAUCGGGGAGGAACACCAGUGGCGAAGGCGGCGAUCUGGGAAGAUACUGACGCUGAGGUGCGAAAGCGUGGGGAGCAAACAGG
rnacentral:rRNA from 1 species